AUUGAACGCUGGCGGCAGGCCUAACACAUGCAAGUCGAGCGAGCGGCGGACGGGUGUGUAAUGUCUGGGGACUGCCCGAUAGAGGGGGAUAACUACUGGAAACGGUAGCUAAUACCGCAUACUAUCGGAUAACCCAUAUGGGAUUAGCUAGUAGGUGAGGUAACGGCUCACCUAGGCGACGAUCCCUAGCUGGUCUGAGAGGAUGAUCAGCCACACUGGUAUGGUGACACGCCCCAGACUCCUACGGAGGCAGCAGGGGGGAAUAUUGCACCAUGGGCGCAAGCCUGAUGCAGCCAUGCCGCUUGUAUGAAGAAGGCCCUAGGGUUGUAAAGUACUUUCAGUGGGGAGGCGUGACCGACAGAAGAAGCACCGGCUAACUCCGUGCCAGCAGCCGCGGUAAUAC
rnacentral:rRNA from 1 species